CCUGCCGGACCUGACUGCUAUCGGAUUGAUACUAAGCCAUGCGAGUCUUUGUAGUAAUACAAGGCAGACGGCUCAGUAACACGUAGUCAACCUACCCUAUGGACAAGAAUAAUCUCGGGAAACUGGGCAUAAUUCUUGAUAGAUCAUAAUGCCUGGAAUGGUUUAUGGUUAAAAUGAUUCGUCGCCAUAGGAUGGGACUGCGGCCUAUCAGCUUGUUGGUGAGGUAAUGGCCCACCAAGGCGAUUACAGGUACGGGCUCUGAGAGGAGAAGCCCGGAGAUGGGUACUGAGACACGGACCCAGGCCCUAUGGGGCGCAGCAGGCGAGAAAACUUUGCAAUGUGCGAAAGCACGACAAGGUUAAUCCGAGUGAUUUCUGCUAAAGAAAUCUUUUGCCAGUCAUAAAACCACUGGUGAAUAAGGGGUGGGCAAGUUCUGGUGUCAGCCGCCGCGGUAAAACCAGCACCUCAAGUGGUCAGGAUGAUUAUUGGGCCUAAAGCAUCCGUAGCCGGCUUUGUAAGUUUUCGGUUAAAUCCAUGUGCUCAACGCAUGGGCUGCCGAAAAUACUGCAUGGCUAGGGAGUGGGAGAGGUAGACGGUACUCAGUAGGAAGGGGUAAAAUCCUUUGAUCUAUUGAUGACCACCUGUGGCGAAGGCGGUCUACCAGAACACGUUCGACGGUGAGGGAUGAAAGCUGGGGGAGCAAACCGGAUUAGAUACCCGGGUAGUCCCAGCUGUAAACGAUGCAGACUCGAUGAUGCAUUGGCAUAAUAGCCAGUGCAGUGUCGCAGGGAAGCCGUUAAGUCUGCCGCCUGGGAAGUACGUACGCAAGUAUGAAACUUAAGGAAUUGGCGGGGGAGCACCAC
rnacentral:rRNA from 1 species